GGCACUGCCCGAUGGGAGGGCAAGAGGCCGUGACACAUACCUGCCUGUUCCUCCAAGGAGUGAAAAAGAACAAGCCUUCAUUUGUAUUUCAAGAGGGGCACCUUCAUAACCCUGCUUGCAACGUCAGAAUCCACAGGUUUACCACGAGCAUGCACUCCACUGGUCUCCAUCCCGCUGGGAUACUCACCCACGGCCAAUUCUCUCCUUCUCGGGACUGCGCCCCCCCCCCCCCCCCCGCGUCGCACCGGGUGAAGCCAUGUGACCGGCGAUGGCCAAGGAACUCUGGGAGGAAGUGACGUGUUGCUGUUUCCCCUGCCUCAGUGACCCGGACGUGGAGGUACCACAAAACAGAGGCAGCCUGGAUCCCUGGAGGGGCAAUGGCCCCGGAGAAUCACUUGAGCUCCCAGCACACCUCGCUGGCUGCAAAACAAACUUUUGUUGUGCUGAGA